rnacentral:tmRNA from 11 species
GGGGCUGAUUCUGGAUUCGACGGGAUUUGCGAAACCCAAGGUGCAUGCCGAGGGGCGGUUGGCCUCGUAAAAAGCCGCAAAAAAAUAGUCGCAAACGACGAAACCUACGCUUUAGCAGCUUAAUAACCUGCUUAGAGCCCUCUCUCCCUAGCCUCCGCUCUUAGGACGGGGAUCAAGAGAGGUCAAACCCAAAAGAGAUCGCGCGGAUGCCCUGCCUGGGGUUGAAGCGUUAAAACGAAUCAGGCUAGUCUGGUAGUGGCGUGUCCGUCCGCAGGUGCCAGGCGAAUGUAAAGACUGACUAAGCAUGUAGUACCGAG